rnacentral:rRNA from 1 species
UGCGUAGGCGGCGGCACAAGUCAGGUGUGAAAUCCCCCGGCUCAACCGGGGAACAGCGCUUGAAACUAGGUCGCUCGAGUGAGGCAGGGGUAUGUGGAACUUCCGGUGGAGCGGUGAAAUGUGUAGAUAUCGGAAGGAACGCCGGCGGCGAAAGCGGCAUACUGGGCCUUGUCUGACGCUGAGGCACGAAAGCUAGGGGAGUGAACGGGAUUAGAUACCCCGGUAAUCCUAGCCGUAAACACUGAGCACUGGAGGGGAGGGGCUUCGGCCUUUUCCCUCGCAGCGAAAGCGUUAAGUGCUCCGCCUGGGGAGUAUGGUCGCAAGGCUGAA